UACGUAGGGUGCGAGCGUUAAUCGGAAUUACUGGGCGUAAAGCGUGCGCAGGCGGUUGUGCAAGACAGAUGUGAAAUCCCCGGGCUCAACCUGGGAACUGCAUUUGUGACUGCACGGCUGGAGUGCGGCAGAGGGGGAUGGAAGUCCGCGUGUAGCAGUGAAAUGCGUAGAUAUGCGGAGGAACACCGAUGGCGAAGGCAAUCCCCUGGGCCUGCACUGACGCUCAUGCACGAAAGCGUGGGGAGCAAACAGG
rnacentral:rRNA from 1 species